AGGAGAGAGUGGGAGACAAAAACGUCAAUGGAAACCCUAUCUCCCACCGCCCUCUUCUCCGUCUUCCCGUCGCUCCUACAUCCGCUCCGGCGCCUCCUUCACUCUCCUCAACAACGCAUCAACCUGGCCAUAGAUCAGUUGUCGAAUAUCUCACCAACAAAAGUGCCGAUUGACGAUCAAAUCGGUGCUAGAUUCAGCUUCAAUCGAUCAGUAUUUCGGACUCACGGAAUCAGACGCACGUAAUCCGACUUUAUCAACUUUGUUUAGGGUUCCGAUGCGUCGAAAACCUAAUCAGACGGUGUUAGAAGACGUCAGGGUUCCGAUUUGAAGCUCUUAUGGCACCCUUGACAUCUGGUCGUGUGACAAUUGUAGCGAGUUCAAUGAACACGACAAAGGUACUCUCUAUAAGACGAGUCUUCUAUAUGAAACCAAACGAGCCCGAGGUUCUUUUGCUUGAUUAUCCAAGCCAUAAAAGGCGGCUUUUACCUCUUGUAGCAAAGACGUGCCGGUGGUUUGACGGUGGUGUUCUCCUUUCUCUUAUUUGUCUUCUAAAUUCCACAUUGUCAAUUCUUUACUCAAGUUUCUAAGUUCGAUUGCUUGCAUAAGUGACCGCAAAUCUGUAGCAGUUUCGGUCAAUAAGAUCAUAAUGAUUUGAUAAUUUACAGCUUUUGAAUGCUUAAUUGAUGUAUAAGAAUUAAUAAUGGAGCGGGUUGUCUUUAGUUUGGUGGGCUUUGGUUGCCAACUGGAGGAAAGAAAACUUAGAGGAUGCAAGGAACAAUAAUGGAACCUCGACAACUUUGUUGACUAUGCACUCCAAUGAGGUUGCAAAAACGAGCCGGCUAGAACAAAAGAUCCAAAAAUGGAACACUCCUUAUGCUAUAAAUGUAGUUUUUGUUUUCGUAUGUAAAUGUAGAUUUGGCUUUUUUGUCUUGCAACUUUUUAUUUUGCAAUAAGAGAAUACAAUGAGACAUCAAUUGGUGUUUACUAAUUAGGAAUACAAGCAUGAGACAUCAAUAAAUUGAUAUUAAUUUAGGAAUAUGACGGUUUACCAAGUUCAGACCCGCCGAUGAGCGCCG
rnacentral:lncRNA from 1 species